rnacentral:rRNA from 1 species
GACGAACGCUGGCGGCGUGCUUAACACAUGCAAGUCGAACGGUAAGGCCCUGCUUUUGUGGGGUGCUCGAGUGGCGAACGGGUGAGUAACACGUGAGUAACCUGCCCUUGACUUUGGGAUAAAUUCAGGGAAAUGGGGCUAAUAACGGACAGGAGAUCCUGCUGCAUGGUGGGGGUUGGAAAGAUUCGGCGGUUGGGGAUGGACUGGCGGCUUAUCAGCUUGUUGGUGGGGUAGUGGCUUACCAAUGCAUUGACGGGUAGCCGGCCUGAGAGGGUGACCGGCCACAUUGGGACUGGGACACGGCCCAGACUCCUACGGGAGGCAGCGGUGGGAGAGAUUGCACGAUGGGCGGAAGCCUGAUGCAGCAACGCCGCGUGCGGGAGAACGGCCUUCGGGUUGUAAACCGCUUUCGCCUGGGACGAAGCGUGAGUGACGGUAAUGUAUAAAGAAGCACCGGCUAACUACGUG